AAUAUUAUAAAUAUGUUAAUAAUACUAUUAUCAUUUAGUAAAAAUUAGAUUGAGUAGUUAAAUUGCUUCACUAAAUAUUAACCUCAUAAUAUUAAAUAAUGACUGAUAUAUUUGAUAAGCAAAAAAAAGAAAGCCUUAAUGGAAUAGACCAAAGUAAGAAAGGAAGCUUUGAUGAACCUAUUGAAGACCUUAUUAUUUACUUAAACUCCCUUUCAGAUUUUUUUACAACAAGUUCAUGCUCAGGUCGCACUAUUGUUUUUACACAAUCAGAAAAUAAGAAGAAAGGUUGUAAAUGGCUUGUCACUUCACAUGGAAAAAUAGAUGCUGUUGAUGUGAUUAACGCAGUUAAUGAAACAGAUGAAAAUGUUACAUUCAAGUUUGAAGCAUUUAUCCUACAUUUACAAUGCAGAAAUCUUGAGCAAGCUCAAAAUAUGUUAGCAAUCGCGCUAGCAUGUGGUUAUAGAAAUUCUGGUCUUGUAAUUGGCAAAAAGAAAAAAAUUAUGCUGGCUGUACGACAAAGUCAUGGUUUAGAAGUUCCACUUGUAUUUAAUGAUAAAGUCAAAGUUUCUAAUGAAUACAUUUAUCAACUUGUUCUUGCUGCAAAUAUAAAAAUGGAUGAGAAUUUUUUACGCAUUAAAAAGUUCUUUGAAAAUUUAAAAGAAGAAUUUGGUUAAAGUUACUACAACUUCAAAAAUUGUUUAAUGGCAAAAGCUCUUGUUUGAUUUAAAGACUCGAUCAUUGCAAGGUUAUGCACCUAAAAGAAAAUGAAAUUCCAGAAAAUGCUCCAAAAGAAUUUCUACUGGAAAAGCAUGCAUUGUUCAUCAAAGCAUAUGAAGA
rnacentral:misc_RNA from 1 species